GUGAGGAUGCAUUGUUGAUUUUGAUAUAGAUGAAAUGAUAUCUUCUGUUGUCCUCUAAGAAGUACUGAACAU